GACGAACGCUGGCGGCGUGCUUAACACAUGCAAGUCGAACGGAAAGGCCCUGCUUUUGUGGGGUGCUCGAGUGGCGAACGGGUGAGUAACACGUGAGUAACCUGCCCUUGACUUUGGGAUAACUUCAGGAAACUGGGGCUAAUACCGGAUAGGAGCUCCUGCUGCAUGGUGGGGGUUGGAAAGUUUCGGCGGUUGGGGAUGGACUCGCGGCUUAUCAGCUUGUUGGUGGGGUAGUGGCUUACCAAGGCUUUGACGGGUAGCCGGCCUGAGAGGGUGACCGGCCACAUUGGGACUGAGAUACGGCCCAGACUCCUACGGGAGGCAGCAGUGGGGAAUAUUGCACAAUGGGCGGAAGCCUGAUGCAGCAACGCCGCGUGCGGGAUGACGGCCUUCGGGUUGUAAACCGCUUUCGCCUGUGGCGAAAGCGUGAGUGACGGUAAUGGGUAAAGAAGCACCGGCUAACUACGUGCCAGCAGCCGCGGUGAUACGUAGGGUGCGAGCGUUGUCCGGAUUUAUUGGGCGUAAAGGGCUUGGUAGGUGGUUGAUCGCGUCGGAAGUGUAAUCUUGGGGCUUAACCCUGAGCGUGCUUUCGAUACGGGUUGACUUGAGGAAGGUAGGGGAGAAUGGAAUUCCUGGUGGAGCGGUGGAAUGCGCAGAUAUCAGGAGGAACACCAGUGGCGAAGGCGGUUCUCUGGGCCUUUCCUGACGCUGAGGAGCGAAAGCGUGGGGAGCGAACAGGCUUAGAUACCCUGGUAGUCCACGCUGUAAACGGUGGGUACUAGGUGUGGGGUCCAUUCCACGGGUUCCGUGCCGUGGCUAACGCUUUAAGUACCCCGCCUGGGGAGUACGGCCGCAAGGCUAAAACUCAAAGGAAUUGACAGGGCCCCGCACAAGCGGCGGAGCAUGCGGAUUAAUUCGAUGCAACGCGUAGAACCUUACCUGGGUUUGACAUGGAUCGGGAGUGCUCAGAGAUGGGUGUGCCUCUUUUGGGGUCGGUUCACAGGUGGUGCAUGGCUGUCGUCAGCUCGUGUCGUGAGAUGUUGGGUUAAGUCCCGCAACGAGCGCAACCCUUGUUCACUGUUGCCAGCACGUUAUGGUGGGGACUCAGUGGAGACCGCCGGGGUCAACUCGGAGGAAGGUGGGGAUGACGUCAAGUCAUCAUGCCCCUUAUGUCCAGGGCUUCACGCAUGCUACAAUGGCUGGUACAGAGAGUGGCGAGCCUGUGAGGGUGAGCGAAUCUCGGAAAGCCGGUCUCAGUUCGGAUUGGGGUCUGCAACUCGACCUCAUGAAGUCGGAGUCGCUAGUAAUCGCAGAUCAGCAACGCUGCGGUGAAUACGUUCCCGGG
rnacentral:rRNA from 1 species